rnacentral:piRNA from 1 species
UUACACUAACUCUGAAGGGCUAUACUCUC